UGUGAGAUAGCAUUGUAAUUUAUUUCCUGUUUCGUCUCUUAAGUGGUUUUCCACCUCAAGACUUCAUAUCUCAUGGCACCUCAGAUCCUUUAAGAGGCUUUUGUGAGAGAUGUUACUUAAUUUCUUUUGGAAAUCCAAGCAGACCUUAUCAAUCAGAUCUGCCUCAUGCACCAGCUAUUGGCCUGCUCAGGAACAGAGGGCUUUUUUUGACUGCUGGUGAGACUAUUCAGAGAUUGCUAUGAAGCCUCUGUUGCAUAUGCCUUCCACUUGUGCCCUGAUCAAGUCACAGGAAAGGGCUCCGUCUCUGAAGAUUAUGGGCUGCCUGGAAUGAAUUUGUCUUCCCACCACCUGCACAUUGGUCAGAUAAAGCCUCAAGUCUAUGCUGAGAUGCUGAACAGUGUAUUGUGGCAUUUGGGACAGUGCAUCUCCCAGACAGAGGAGCUUCUUGCUGACCUCUCAGUGGUACCCAAAGGUGAGUUCUGCAGCCUCUGACUUGCUCCUUGGUAGUUUGGGCAGCAUGGCUGUAUCAUGUGUAAGUUUAUAGAACAGUUUGAGCUUUG
rnacentral:lncRNA from 1 species